UUCCAAAUAGUUGAGGAACAAUACUUGCUUGUCGGGCAAGAGGGGCCCAUUGGGUUUUGGGGG
rnacentral:tRNA from 1 species